rnacentral:tRNA from 1 species
GUGGCUGUGGCUCAGUGGUAGAGCGCUUGCCUAGCACAUGCAAGACCCUGGGUUUGAUCCUCAGCACCCCCU